GGGAAAGAAAUAUGUGGAGGGACAUUUUUAAAUCAUGGGUCAUGGGAUGCAGCACUUCUUGCUGCUGGAACUACAUUAUCAGCUAUGAAGCAUAUAAUUGAUGGACACGGGAAAUUUGCAUAUGCUUUGGUCAGACCACCUGGUCAUCAUGCACAACCUACUCAAGCUGAUGGUUAUUGCUUUCUUAACAAUGCCGGUCUAGCUGUACAACUGGCUCUAGAUAGUGGUUGUAGAAAAGUUGCUGUCCUUGACAUGAAUCUAGACCACCUGGUCAUCAUGCACAACCUACUCAAGCUGAUGGUUAUUGCUUUCUUAACAAUGCCGGUCUAGCUGUACAACUGGCUCUAGAUAGUGGUUGUAGAAAAGUUGCUGUCCUUGACAUUGAUGUUCAUUACGGGAAUGGAACAGCAGAAGG
rnacentral:lncRNA from 1 species